UACAGAGGGGGCAAGCGUUGUUCGGAAUUACUGGGCGUAAAGGGCGCGUAGGUGGCCUUCUAAGUUGAACGUGAAAUCCCUGGGCUCAACCCAGGAACUGCGUCCAAGACUGGGAGGCUUGAAUCCGGGAGAGGGAUGCGGAAUUCCAGGUGUAGCGGUGAAAUGCGUAGAUAUCUGGAGGAACGCCGGUGGCGAAGGCGGCAUCCUGGACCGGUAUUGACACUGAGGCGCGAAAGCCAGGGGAGCAAACGGG
rnacentral:rRNA from 1 species